rnacentral:tRNA from 1 species
GCGGGCGUAGUUCAAUGGUAGAACUUCAGCUUCCCAAGCUGGCCACGCGGGUUCGAUUCCCGUCGCCCGCUCCA